UCCCUGGUGGUCCAGUGGUUAGGACUCUGGGCUCCCAAUGCAGAGGAUCCGGGUCCGAUCCCUGGUCAGGGAA
rfam:TPA: Bos taurus chromosome 18, whole genome shotgun sequence.